rnacentral:rRNA from 1 species
UACGUAGGGGGCAAGCGUUGUCCGGAUUUAUUGGGCGUAAAGAGCGUGUAGGCGGCCAUACAGGUCCGUUGUGAAAACUGGAGGCUUAACCUCCAGACGUCGAUGGAAACCGUAUGGCUAGAGUCCGGAAGAGGAGAGUGGAAUUCCUGGUGUAGCGGUGAAAUGCUCAGAUAUCAGGAGGAACACCGACGGCGAAGGCAGCACUCUGGGCCGGUACUGACGCUGAGGAGCGAAAGCAUGGGGAGCGAACAGG